rnacentral:lncRNA from 1 species
UGAGAAAAGCCUGCCAGGAAGAAAGGAGAUUAGUGAGCAAACCAAGGAAAAGCCCUAACUUUUGUGUGUUGCAAAUAUAAAAGGCAAGCCAUGUGACAGAGGGACAGAAGAACAAAAGCAUUUGGAAGUAACAGGACGUCUUUUCAGCUCUCCGAAGAUUUCGAGGGGAAGAAGGAGCAGUGCAUUUUCCAAAGGAGCACUCUUAAUUUGCACAUUAUUAUUUAUCCAAACUUCUGGAAACCUUUCCAAUGGACUGGACAGCACUGGUUAUGGAUCAGAACAGAUUUAACGUACACUGUUGGCUGGCUGAAAGAUGAGGAAAGCCACAGUGUUUGCCUUUGCUGUAUUGCCGAGGGGUAUAUUUAG